rnacentral:ncRNA from 1 species
AGAAACGCAAUGAUGUGAAAAGUAAAUUGAGCAAUUCUUCUCAGAGAGCUUACGUGUGGUGAGAGUAAGUAAGAAAAACUUAAUUGAAAAUGGUCACUGAGCGGUCAUUCUGAAUGCUUAAGCAAUAAGAAUGAACGGAAGCACCCGUUAUCCAUGCCACAGUAUCGAAGGUAUCGUAGUUUAGUAUCCUUCCGCACUGGUAGAGGUUGUUAUAGUAAUAUAACAACAAAUAAAGGUGGUAACACGAAGUAUAACUCUCGUCCUUUCA